AUUCUGGUUGAUCCUGCCAGUAGUUAUAUGCUUGUCUCAAAGAUUAAGCCAUGCAUGUCUAAGUACACACGAAUUAAAAGUGAAACCGCAAAAGGCUCAUUAUAUCAGUUAUGGUUCCUUAGAUCGUUAACAGUUACUUGGAUAACUGUGGUAAUUCUAGAGCUAAUACAUGCAAUUAAAACACGGACCUUAUGGGACGUGUGCUUUUAUUAGGCUAAAACCAAGCGAUCGUAAGAUCGUUACAUUGGUUGAACUCUAGAUAACAUGCAGAUCGUAUGGUCUUGUACCGACGACAGAUCUUUCAAAUGUCUGCCCUAUCAACUUUUGAUGGUAGUAUCUAGGACUACCAUGGUUGCAACGGGUAACGGGGAAUCAGGGUUCGAUUCCGGAGAGGGAGCCUGAGAAACGGCUACCACAUCUAAGGAAGGCAGCAGGCGCGUAAAUUACCCACUCCCAGCUCGGGGA
rnacentral:ncRNA from 1 species